rnacentral:lncRNA from 1 species
UGGAGUCUUUUGAGUGAAAAUCCAGUUCCUAAAACUUUGAAGUACACAAAGCACUCCAUUUCAGAACGAACAUCGGAUGAACCUGAAUUAUCCAAUUUCAUGGACCAAUCGAUAUCGGAUUGAGUCUAAAACUUGGGGAACACCAUAAUUUGGUGGGAGGAGUGAUUUGGUGUGUUUUGAGUGACAUCCAAGCUCUACAACUAUGGAAUACACCAACCACUCCAUUUCAU